GUCUUUUUGAGUUAUUUUAAAAGUCUAACCUGCCCACUAAAUUUUUAAAUGGCCGCAGUAUUCUAACUGUGCAAAGGUAGCAUAAUCAUUAGUCUUUUAAUUGAAGGCUGGUAUGAAUGGUUGGACGAAGUAUAAGCUGUUUCAUAUAAAAUUAUAUUAGAAUUUUAUUUUUUAGUAAAAAAGCUAAAAUUUUAUUAAAAGACGAGAAGACCCUAUAAAUCUUUAUAUUUAAUUUUAUAUAAAUUUUUUUGAUUUAUUUUAUUUUUAUAUUUUUAAAUAUUUUGUUGGGGUGAUGUUAAAAUUUAAAAAACUUUUAAUAAAUAAAAAUCAUUAAUUUAUGAAUUAUUGAUCCAUUAUUAGUGAUUAAAAAAUCAAGUUACUUUAGGGAUAACAGCGUAAUUUUUUUUGAGAGUUCAUAUCGACAAAAAAGUUUGCGACCUCGAUGUUGGAUUAAGAUAAAUUUUUAGGUGUAGCCGUUUAAAUAUAAAGUCUGUUCGACUUUUAAAUUCUU
rnacentral:rRNA from 1 species